GUUUCAAAAGGGUCGCUGGAAUUCAACUCUCGAUCAACCACUUGAAGAGUGCUGAUCUCGGAGACCUUGUAUUCGCCGAAGCAUCUCCUGUAAGCACAGGCAAAACCAUUCAGGUUUGGGAAGUCAAGCUUUGGAAAACAACAAAAGGAUCAGAGAAAGCUAACAAAAGCUUAAUAUCUUCCUCUAGAGUCACACUUCUUUGCAAUCUUCCUAUCCCUGAACACGCCAAAGAUGCAUCAGACCCGCUCAAACUGAUCUCCAAGUUGUAGAUUUCAAUGCUUUGUUCUCUCUCUCUCUCUAUCUAUGAUUGAGUUUACUUGUAUGUAACUAUGUAUCAUCUUCUAAAAAAAUUAACCUUUUGGGUGAUAAUAAGCUAAAAGUGGCAAAAGACAAGUCAACCGUCGUUGUCCUUGAUGUGCAGAAUCUACCGGAAUAUCAAGCGUGGAGCAUCUUUCCUUAUAUUUAAAAAAAACCCCAAAUUUUUGCGAAUAUAGUUCACAAGUAGCAAUAGCAAUCUAGUCUGUGAUUUGUUAGGCCUGGAAAAAGGAUGAAACUUUAACCUCAUGUGCUUACCUCAGAUUUGUGAGGACAGCUUGUGUCUGUAGACAAACAAUGUUGUCAGAUCUCAAUCAAGUUCUAGGAGUUUGAAUGCUUGUCGGGUGCAUCAUUUGCAGGGUGACCACCAAAAAUCCUGCACCUUUUGUAACAAAUAAGAAACAUCAGGCAUAAACACAAUGAAGAGAGCAUAACAAUGUGGCAAGCAAUUGAACACAAGAUAGAGAUGCUAUAAUAGGAUCUAAUUACAACAAACUUGAGUUUUGG
rnacentral:lncRNA from 1 species